GCAUAGCUCAGUGAUAGAGCACUUGCCUAGCAUGCAUAAUGCCCUGGGUUCAAUUCUCAGUACA
rnacentral:tRNA from 1 species